GGGAGAGCAAAAGUCAGGAACAACCUAUGUCAUCAUCUUCGUGACAUCACUUCCCACCUCAUGUAUUUGAGGGAAGAAAGAAGUCUUUUGAUAAUCUUCUUAAGCACCUCAGAAAAGACCAUUUCCUGUCAGGGAAGACAGCAAGAAUGGGAGAGCAAGACAUGAAGGAGAUUCCACACCCAUCAUGGAACCUAGUGUGGGGCUUGAAUUCAUGAGCCUGAGAUCAAGAGUUGG